GCCUAUCAUGCCCCACAAAAACUACUGUGAAUCUUAUGCGCUUCAAUUCCUUACCCACUACUUCUUCCCAAACUCCUGUAGGUAACUCAGAUGGGAAGAACUCCUCAAAGAGGAGCAAAGUUAAAAGGUGACAACCGUUUUUUCACAAGAUGGCGCCGAAAGCGAAGAAGGAAGCUCCUUCCCCUCCUAAAGCCGAAGCCAAAGCGAAAGCUUUAAAGGCCAAGAAGGCAGUGUUGAAAGGUGUCCAUAGCCACAAAAAAAAGAAGAUCCGCACGUCACCCACCUUCCGGCGGCCCAAGACACUGCGACUCCGGAGGCAGCCCAAAUAACCUCGGAAGAGCGCCCCCAGGAGAAACAAACUGGACCACUAUGCUAUCAUCAAGUUUCCGCUGACCACUGAGUCUGCCAUGAAGAAGAUAGAAGACAACAACACACUUGUGUUCAUUGUGGAUGUUAAAGCCAACAAGCACCAGAUCAAACAGGCUGUGAAGAAGCUCUAUGACAUUGAUGUGGCCAAGGUCAACACCCUGAUUCGGCCUGAUGGAGAGAAGAAGGCAUAGGUUCGACUGGCUCCUGAUUACGAUGCUUUGGAUGUUGCCAACAAAAUUGGGAUCAUCUAA